CUGUCCUCUCUGUCCUAGGUGGCCCCGAUGGAUUUGGCUAAGAUGACAGUGUAGUAUAUGUUCUUAUCAUCUUAAUAUCUGUUACGUCCUGCAUCACAAGACCAGAAUAUUAAACUCAUUUUUGGCGCAUGACGGACUGCUGGGGGCUUACUCCACUUCUGUCGCGGGAUCGGAAAGCCGGCACGGAAGCUCAGCGUGU